rnacentral:lncRNA from 1 species
GAACAAUAAUCAUAAAUAAAGUCUAGUAUACAUGGUAUGUUAUGUUAUACAAGAUGAUUGAUGCAUGAAAUUCUGAGCAAAAGGCAACACUGGCACUUGUAUAAAUAGUGUAUAAUAAUACAAGUUUGGGAACUAGAAUAACCAAGGAAGUAAUUGCGGUUGCAAUCUGGGCUAUGCUAAACGACACAUUCUAAAGAAACUCAAUUUUAAUCCUGAGCAUCUACUUGGAUGUGAGAAACCCCCAUAAUCUUAGAUAAUUCCCUGAUUGCAGCUUCAACCUGGGAAUCACCUGACUCGCCAGGAAACGACGUUCUUGAUGUCAUUCUACUGUAUUCAUUUGCAGCAACCGAUGUCUUCCGUGAAGUAGAAAGGGCCUUCUCCAAAUCUGCCUGCGAUAAAGGUCUAGGUUCCUGACACGAUUGUUCCCCAUUCUUCUCAUUAUGCAGUAUUUCUCUAAUAGGAAAAUAUGCGGCCUUCUUGCAAAGAUCAAAUAGAUCUGAACCAGUGUAACCCUUGCAUAAACCAGCUAUAUAACUGAAAUCUAUGUUAUCUUCAACCUUCUCCCCCUUUAAGAUAACCUUCAAUAUAUCAGCCCUCUCUUUCCGGUCUGGAUAUCCAAUUUCAAAGGCUUGA